UAACUGUUAUAAGAAUACACCACAUGGCAUGAAAGGUUACUUCAUGUAAUGCCACAUACGUUGUUUGAACUUUAUUAUUUUGACUCCAUUUGACUAACAAAAUCUAGGUAUGCACUAGAAAGUAAAUUCAAGUUGCAGAAAAUCUAAUUCUAACUUUUAUGUGUCCUUAGAAUAAGUGAGGCCGCUGAUUCAAAUAUUAGAUGUAUUCCCAAUCAACCAAACAAACCCUAAGGGUACAUAGUCCCUCAGACGUUUCAAACUUCAUUGUUUCACACGAGAGCAUUUCAAUGCAUUCAAGCAUAAUCUAAUGGGCAUCAUGAACAUUUUUGUUGACAUGCAGUACUUAUCUCCAACCAACUGAAGAACUGAAGAUUCAAAACAUACUCCCAACUUCGAGCUCAUUUGGAAGUUUGGUCCAACCACUCCAAUCUCCCAAUACUGGGACCACAUUACCAUGAUUGCUGCUGGUGGCCUGUCAUGUGCUGGUACUAGCAUAUAGAUUGCCCACAUUAUUAGACCAUUUUUGAGAGCUUCUAGCCCACUAUCCUUUUGCCUAGUUUCUUCCAAAAAGAAACUGAAGGGGUAUUAGGUUGUUGAGUUGAAGGUGUGCCUGGAAAAGGAGCAUCACAGACCAAUCCGACUGAUCCAACAGUAAAAGGUGUUGUGCCUCUUCUCACAAGUCACAAAGUUACUCGCACCAUUGUUAUGCUGCUAAUCAGAUGGGGGAAAAGCUACGGGAGAGAAUUCUCCUACACAGUACUACUGAAUUGAUGUGUUUCUUCACCACGGAAGUAGAAUGAAUCUCGACCAAAUCGAAAAACACGUCGGACUUUUGCUGACUGAGCGAAAUACCUGUGUCGGCACAACAUUUAUAGCUGCAGACUAAAAGUUGGAAGCAAUGACUCGCCUGAUCACCAACGAAAUCAAGAAGCCUCCCAGAUGCUGAGGAGAUGGGGUCGACGCCGCCGCGCAUCCGGUGCGCGUGCCGCGCCGCCUGCGCCAGCGAGUAGAGUAGCGCCAGCGACGCGAUGGAAAGCAGGUACCUAGGGAGAGAGAAGAUGCAGCAAUAAUCCAUAAACAAAUAAACACGAGUCGAAGUGCACGCCAAGGUCGAACCCCCAACAACCGUCGUCCGCUCACGCACUUGUACUCCUGGUACCGGUCGAACUGCAUCCAGUCGCCGUGCUGGUUGGACGCGACAAGCACGAGAGCGACGAAGGCGAAGACCGCGGCCGCGGCAUGCAGCGCGAGGGGGCUCUUGUCGAGCAUGUCCUCCCGCCGCCACCGCGCCACCACCGAAUCCACCACGCCGCCGCCGCGGCGGACGCGGGCGCCCGUGCCGCCAUCUGCGGUGGAAGCGCCGUUGUAGGGGGCGUAGUCCGGCUUCUCGGCGUGCUUCGGCUUCUCUGCGGCGGUGGCGGUGACGGAGUCGGCGUCGACGGUGGCGGUGGCGGCGUCGGCGGUGGCGGUGGCGGUGGCGGUGGCGGCGUCGGCGGUGGCAGUGGCGGUGGCGGCGUCGGCGUCAGUCAUGACCAUCGCCAUCGCUUAGCGGCGCAAAGCGUCGAGGUGGUGGAUGAGAGAGAAGGAGUGAGGAAGGAAGGGGAACAAUUUUUGCUAGCGGGGGGUUAAAAAAAACAAAAGUGCUUUUGUGUGUGAGCCCGGCAAGGCACUUGUGCAUUUACAGACAGAUCAGCGGUUGCUCACUUGCACUAGAGUGGAAAUAAUUACCCAAACGAAACAAAUAAUGAAAGAAUCAUCCCUGAGUGAGCUCGGGCCCACUUGUCAAUAAACUUGAAAUUUGAUUUG